rnacentral:rRNA from 1 species
GUGAGGAAUAUUGCGCAAUGGAGGCAACUCUGACGCAGCCAUGCCGCGUGCAGGAAGAAGGCGCUACGCGUUGUAAACUGCUUUUAACCGGGAAGAAACCCCAGGACGUGUCCUGGGUUGACGGUACCGGAGGAAUAAGCACCGGCUAACUUCGUGCCAGCAGCCGCGGUAAUACGACGGGUGCAAGCGUUAUCCGGAUUCAUUGGGUUUAAAGGGUGCGUAGGCGGAGCGUUAAGUCAGUGGUGAAAUCCUGCAGCUUAACUGUAGACUUGCCAUUGAUACUGGCGCUCUUGAGUGCGCUUGAAGUGGGCGGAAUGUGCCGUGUAGCGGUGAAAUGCUUAGAUAUGGCACAGAACACCAAUUGCGAAGGCAGCUCACUAAGGCGAUACUGACGCUGAGGCACGAAAGCGUGGGGAUCGAACAGGAUUAGAUACCCCGGUAGUCC